rnacentral:rRNA from 1 species
AGUGAACGCUGGCGGUAGGCCUAACACAUGCAAGUCGAACGGCAGCACAGUAAGAGCUUGCUCUUACGGGUGGCGAGUGGCGGACGGGUGAGGAAUACAUCGGAAUCUACUUUUUCGUGGGGGAUAACGUAGGGAAACUUACGCUAAUACCGCAUACGACCUACGGGUGAAAGCAGGGGAUCUUCGGACCUUGCGCGAUUGAAUGAGCCGAUGUCGGAUUAGCUAGUUGGCGGGGUAAAGGCCCACCAAGGCGACGAUCCGUAGCUGGUCUGAGAGGAUGAUCGGCCACACUGGAACUGAGACACGGUCCAGACUCCUACGGGAGGCAGCAGUGGGGAGUAUUGGACAAUGGGCGCAAGCCUGAUCCAGCCAUACCGCGUGGGUGAAGAAGGCCUUCGGGUUGUAAAGCCCUUUUGUUGGGAAAGAAAAGCAGCAGGUUAAUACCCCGCUGUUCUGACGGUACCCAAAGAAUAAGCACCGGCUAACUUCGUG